GCGAGCCGCUGCACCCCGGUCGGGUCUGCGCGGAGAGGCUGCGGAAAUCCCGCGGUCCCUACACUUGUUCACAUCCAUUGACUAUCGUUGACUGCAUGGAAAUGAACGGGCGGUCGGCAGCCGUGGGAGGGAGACGCCGAGCAGGUCCCCACCCCGGGGCUCUCGGGCCCCGCGGGUCUUAACCUACCUGGGCGCUCGGGCUGGGAACCUAGCCCCAGGCCCCGACCAACCGGGCAGACCCUGUAUCACCGGUCUUAGGGGGAGGGGUCUGCUGUUUUUUGCUGUUUCUAUGGCUAUUGUGAAGCCAUCACAGGCCACUCUAAACAGGGACCUCAAAUUCACCUCUUGCCCCUGAGGGCACACUCAGAAGGCAAAUUAUUUUUAAGUAGAAAUGCCCUUGACAGAUUGGACCCGAGGAGAAUCAUUCAAACAUCAAUUAGAAGACUGAGAUGAAUCAGUUAACAUUCAGGGAGUUAACACAUUGAACAGUGGGACAAUUGAACCUGCUAGCAUACCCAGAAUCCGUGUGGAUAAACUACCUAGAAAGCAAUGUACAUACAUGCUAUGUGAAGCCUUUUCACCAGUCAGUCCUGGGUGCUUUCUCAGAAGCCAUCAGCCUCCAGGGUAUAUUUCAUUGGAUCUCAAAGGGCAGAACUGUGAAGCUGUCCGUGUCACCUGUAAUCACUCCUCCAGCCGCUGCCAUCGGUGUUUCGUGAGCACCACGCUACUGAAAUGGAGCUUAUUAAAGUCACCAGAUACUUUCACUUUGAAAAACUCCUCAGGCCAGCUUGCUACCUGUCACUGGUUUGCCUGCUUCCUUAGUCUUGGCUGAAGCAUCUCCCCCCCUAAGCUCUCCGGCAUCACGGCCCUCCUGAUGUCACCCUGCCACAGCAGCGCCUCUGUCCCCGUCUCCUCCGCUCCUCAGGACUCUCUCUCGUGACCUCAUCCAGGCCAUGCUCUUGGAUACCUGCCAUAUGCUUAUGACUCCCGAGUACAUCCAGUCCUGACCUUUCCACUGAUUUCCAGGCUCAUGUAUCCAGCGACCUACCGGACAGCUCCUCCUGGAGAAUUAACAGGCAUCUCGGGCUCAGCGUUUCCACGGUGGAGCUCCUGGAUCCCGGCCGCUCCCCUUCCCACCGCCUCUGUCCCAGGGUGCUAUUCAUCAUCAGUAAAUAGCCCCACGACACACCCGGGUCAGAAAAAGUGGCACUUAUCCUUCAUCCUGUUUUCCUUGUGACUUACAUUCAACCAUAGACAAGCCCUGUCUGUGACACCUCCAGUACAGCCCAAAGGUGGCCACUUUUCAUCAGUUCCACUGUCUGCACUGACUUCUGACUCCAAUAACUUUCUUUUGCAAUCAGAAUAAAAUCCAAACUCCUUUACAUGGUCCACAGACCUA